rnacentral:lncRNA from 1 species
GGCUAAUCUACAAAAUUGCCUUUUCUUAGGAAUCGUUCACCCUUAUCUUCAUCCUUGAAUCGGGCAGAAAAGGAGGCUGCCUAAUCCGACGCUGCUCCUCGCUUUAUUCCGGCCCGACGGCUGCCAAAAAAGCUUAAUCAGCAUGCUGCCGACCCCUCUCCCAUCCACCAGCCUCCGAUCCCGCGAUUAGGGGUCGAACCAUCGGUAAAGACGGGAUCCGGCGGUUCCCCUUUUUUUCAAAAACCUAUAAAAGAUGAUCGCCGGUGGCCAUAACGGGCGGGAAACCGCCUGCAGCCAGCCUCCAACCUUGAUGCUGGCGCAGACGGCGAGCCCCAGCUGGUUUUUUUUUUUUGGUUGGAUGUCCUUCAAAACAGAUAUAAGGAAGAGGAAGGGUCGGUGUCCGGCGCCGCGGCCCGCUGGGAUUACCGUCGGCCUAUUCCAGACAGCCGCCGGUGACCCCAUCCGGUCAUCAGAUGAGAGGAAGCGGCGGAGGGCACGGCGGCAGGAAUCACCGUCCCUUUUUCUUUUCUUCUGAUUUUUUUUUUUCUUGAUUAGACCGCGGGUGGUAACUAGAAA